rnacentral:misc_RNA from 1 species
AAGUCGUAACAAGGUUUCCGUAGGUGAACCUGCGGAAGGAUCAUUCUUGAAUUUGGCCUUGUGCCUAUUCAUUUGGCCCGUGAAUUAUUUUUAUUUGGUUGGAGUCCGAUUUUAUCCUUAAUCUUUGUAACUGAACAACUUUAAGUUACAUUGAGAAUGUAUUUGAACGACUAUAGAAUACUUUAGGUUAAAAUUGUAUUGCUAAUGUUACUACAAUAUUGACUGAACGUCUUUAGGUUAAGUUGAUGUAAUAUUGCAUGAUUGUGUAAACAUAACUGAACGACUUUAAGUUGUGGUCUACACUGGACUUAAUUGCAUGUCCAACCAAAGGUGUUUAGCUUUAGACAGUAGUCUACUGCUGGCACCAAUUGCACCAGUGAAAUGUGUCUAAGAUACUUGCAUAAAUUAAAACUUUUAGCAACGGAUCUCUAGGCUCCCAUUUCGAUGAAGAACGCAGC